AUUGAACGCUGGCGGCAGGCUUAACACAUGCAAGUCGAGCGGGGAGAUGUAGCUUGCUACAUUUCCUAGCGGCGGACGGGUGAGUAAUGCUUAGGAAUCUGCCUAUUAGUGGGGGACAACAUUCCGAAAGGAAUGCUAAUACCGCAUACGCCCUACGGGGGAAAGCAGGGGAUCUUCGGACCUUGCGCUAAUAGAUGAGCCUAAGUCAGAUUAGCUAGUUGGUGGGGUAAAGGCCUACCAAGGCGACGAUCUGUAGCGGGUCUGAGAGGAUGAUCCGCCACACUGGGACUGAGACACGGCCCAGACUCCUACGGGAGGCAGCAGUGGGGAAUAUUGGACAAUGGGCGCAAGCCUGAUCCAGCCAUGCCGCGUGUGUGAAGAAGGCCUUUUGGUUGUAAAGCACUUUAAGCGAGGAGGAGGCUACUUGGAUUAAUACUCUAGGAUAGUGGACGUUACUCGCAGAAUAAGCACCGGCUAACUCUGUG
rnacentral:rRNA from 1 species